rnacentral:rRNA from 1 species
UACGUAGGGGGCAAGCGUUGUCCGGAUUUAUUGGGCGUAAAGAGCGUGUAGGCGGCUUUACAGGUCCGUUGUGAAAACUCGAGGCUCAACCUCGAGACGCCGGUGGAAACCGUAAAGCUAGAGUCCGGAAGAGGAGAGUGGAAUUCCUGGUGUAGCGGUGAAAUGCGCAGAUAUCAAGAGGAACACCUGAGGUGAAGACGGGUUGCUGGGCCGACACUGACGCUGAGUGCGCGAAAGCCAGGGGAGCAAACGGG